AGCAGUAGCCGCGGUAAUACGUAGGUGGCGAGCGUUGUCCGGAAUCAUUGGGCGUAAAGGGAGCGCAGGCGGGCAUGUAAGUCUUUCUUAAAAGUUCGGGGCUCAACCCCGUGAUGGGAAAGAAACUACAUGUCUUGAGUACAGGAGAGGAAAGCGGAAUUCCCAGUGUAGCGGUGAAAUGCGUAGAUAUUGGGAGGAACACCAGUGGCGAAGGCGGCUUUCUGGACUGCAACUGACGCUGAGGAGCGAAAGCGCGGGGAGCGAACAGGAUUAGAUACCCCCGUAGUCCCUGUCUCUUAUACA
rnacentral:rRNA from 1 species